CAGAAAUGACUAAAAUACAUCUUUGACUGGAUCUAUGAAUAAAUCUAUGACUGGGUUUGGACAGGCAAAACAAUGAAUGAUGUAAUCUGAAGCUGGUAUUGCGUCAUACAUGAUAUGAAUUGCAUCAUGUUAUUCCUAUUACUCAUGGAUGAUGCAAUCAUAACAAAGCUUACAUCACUCUGCAGAACAAAUUACCCUAUAUCAGCUCUAGAAAUCAUACGGUGUCAUGCUCUCUUAUUUGUCAGUGUUUGAUUUUGCAAAGGGACACAUUUCUGUUUAGCCAAAGUGAGCAGAGAUGCCUCGUACUUGUGUGAACAGUGCAGAUAACUUCUGCUAUGUUUGUGGUGAAGUGACUUUUGUAUCACAAAAGCGCAGUAUAACCACUAUGGUUAAGAAAGCCUAUCACCUUUAUUUUGGCUGCAAAAUUGACGAUCAGGACAAGAGGUGGGCCCCACACAUAUGCUGCAACACUUGUGCAACAAAUCUUCGCCAGUGGUUGAACAGGAAAAGGAAAUCUAUGCCUUUUGCAGUGCCAAUGAUUUGGAGAGAGCCAAUAGAUCAUACCAGUAAUUGUUACUUCUGCAUGGUGCCUCCAGUUGGGAAAGGUGUGUCAAAGAAGAAAAAGUGGACUGUGUAUUAUCCAAACAUUCCAUCAGCUAUACGCCCAGUACCCCAUGGAGAAGGACUGACGGUUCCUGAUGCACCAGAAUCAUUCUCACUUGAGUCAGACGAGGAAAAGGAAGAGGGUGAAACUUCUGGUCCUGAACCAUCAAUGUCACAGGACCCACAUUUUCUCCCAUCCUCCUCCUCUGAACCACACCUCAUAACACAAGGUGAACUGAAUCCUUUGUCAGGGAUUUGGAACUACCCAAGAGUAAGGCAGAGCUGUUGGGCUCCAGACUACAACAGUGGAAUCUCCUGGCAGGUGAUGUUAUGGUUUCCAUGUUCCGUGACCGUCAAAAGGAUCUUGUCCCAUUCUUCUUCACGGAAGGUGAUCUUGUAGCCUGCAA
rnacentral:lncRNA from 1 species